GCUAGCCACCAAUAUUUGGAAUUCUUACAACAUGACAGACAUUGACAACAAAGAACAGUCUGAACUUGAUCAAGAUUUGGAUGAUGUUGAAGAAGUAGAAGAAGAAGAAACUGGUGAAGAAACAAAAAUCAAAGCGCGUCAGCUGACUGUUCAGAUGAUGCAAAAUCCUCAGAUUCUUGCAGCCCUUCAAGAAAGACUUGAUGGUCUGGUAGAAACACCAACAGGAUACAUUGAAAGCCUGCCUAGGGUAGUUAAAAGACGAGUGAAUGCUCUCAAAAAUCUUCAAGUUAAAUGUGCACAGAUAGAAGCCCAAAUUCUAUGAGGAAGUUCAUAAUCUUGAAAGAAAGUAUGCUGUUCUCUAUCAGCCUCUAUUUGAUAAGCGAUUUGAGAUCAUUAAUGCAAUUUAUGAACAUAUGGAAGAAGAAUGUGAAUGGAAACCAGAUGAGGAGGAUGAAAUUUCAGAGGAGCUGAAAGAAAAAGCCAAGAUUGAAAAUGAGAAAAAGGAUGAAGAAAAAGAAGACCCCAAGGGAAUUCCUGAAUUCUGGUUGACUGUUUUUAAGAACAUUGACUUGCUCAGUGAUAUGGUUCAGGAACAUGAUGAACCUAUUUUGAAGCACUUGAAAGAUAUUAAAGUGAAGUUCUCAGAUGCUGGCCAGCCCAUGAGUUUUGUCUUAGAAUUUCACUUUCAACCCGAUGAAUAUUUCACAAAUGAAGUGUUGACAAAGACAUAUAGGAUGAGGUCAGAACCGGAUGAUUCUGAUCCCUUUUCUUUCGAUGGACCAGAAAUUAUGGGUUGUACAGGGUGCCAGAUAGAUUGGAAAAAAGGAAAGAAUGUCACUUUGAAAACCAUUAAGAAGAAACAGAAACACAAGGGAUGUGGGACAGUUCGUACUGUGACCAAAACAGUUUCCAAUGACUCUUUCUCUAAUUUUUUUUUAAUUCCUGAAAGUAGAGAUCUGGAUGAUGCUGCUGAAGCUAUCCUUGCUGUAGACUUUGAAAUUGGUCACUUUCUACGUGAGUGUAUAAUCCCAAGAUCAGUGUUAUACUUUACUGGAGAAGCUAUCGAAGAUGAUGAUGAUGAUUAUGAUGAAGAAGGUGAAGAAGAGGAGGAGGAGGAGGAGGAGGAGGAGGAGGACGAGGUGGUUUUGGCGGUGGCGGCGGCGGCGGCAGCGGUUGCGCCGCGACCAGGAGGAGCCGGUCGCGCCGGGCGGCGAGUCCGCGGCGGGCGGGGGACGGUGAGUAGCGGCUUGCACUCCGGGCAGUGGCGCGGCUCUGACUCGCCCUCUCCAGCGGCUGAGGGUUCCCCCGGCUCCGCUGGGGAAGGACCCGCUUCUUCCCGGGGUCCCGGGAUAUGCCGUACUCCGGGGACUCUAUGUAGAGGGGUGUGGGGGCAGGGGCCUCCAGGCCCGGGCUCCCAUCCCCCGGCCCCGGCCGCUGAGCGCGGUGCCCAAGUAUCCCCUGGAGAAGGUGGGCGGCACUACCUGCCCGGCACCCUCUCUCAGCGCCCAGCGGCCCGGGCUCCCAGGGUGUGGAUCCCUGGAAUUGCCCCUUGGGCGGGAAGGAGCGAGACGGAGCGGGGGCGAGGCGCUGGCCUCCAGCCUGGCUGA